rnacentral:rRNA from 1 species
GUGCCAGCCGCCGCGGUAAUACGGAGGGGGCUAGCGUUGUUCGGAAUUACUGGGCGUAAAGCGCACGUAGGCGGCUUUGUAAGUUAGAGGUGAAAGCCCGGAGCUCAACUCCGGAAUUGCCUUUAAGACUGCAUCGCUUGAAUCAUGGAGAGGUGAGUGGAAUUCCGAGUGUAGAGGUGAAAUUCGUAGAUAUUCGGAAGAACACCAGUGGCGAAGGCGACUCACUGGACAUGUAUUGACGCUGAGGUGCGAAAGCGUGGGGAGCAAACAGGAUUAGAAACCCCCGUAGUCC